rnacentral:rRNA from 1 species
GGCACAAAGGGUGGUUAAUAAUAAUUAAAUAAAGUCAAACAUAUUUACAGUUGUAUCAAGCAAAAUAAUAUAUGAAGCCCAAUCCCGAAAGAAACUUUAUUACUUUGACACCACGUAAACUAUCUAACAAACUGGGAUUAGACACCCCACUAUGUUUAGUCGUAAACUUAGUAGCCGCCAGGAUACUACGAGCAACUGCUUAAAAACCAAAGGACCUGGCGGUGCUUUACUCCCCCUAGAGGAGCCUGUUUCUUAACCGAUAAUCCCCGUUCUACCUCACCCCUUCUCGCAUCCAGCCUAUAUACCGCCGUCUUCAGUCUACCUUUCAAAGAAUAAUAUUAGGCAAAAUAUCAACCUCCCCUCAAAACGUCAGGUCGAGGCGUAGCCAAUGAAGGGGUACAAAAUGGGCUACAUUCCCUCACAGGGCAUACGAAACAAGUGAUGAAAUAACACUUAAGAAGGAGGAUUUAGAAGUAAGUAAGUUCAGAGUAACCCACUGAAA